rnacentral:rRNA from 1 species
UACGGAGGGAGCUAGCGUUGUUCGGAAUUACUGGGCGUAAAGCGCGCGUAGGCGGCUUUGUAAGUUAGAGGUGAAAGCCCGGAGCUCAACUCCGGAACUGCCUUUAAAACUGCAUCGCUUGGAUCCAGGAGAGGUGAGUGGAAUUCCGAGUGUAGAGGUGAAAUUCGUAGAUAUUCGGAAGAACACCAGUGGCGAAGGCGGCUCACUGGACUGGUAUUGACGCUGAGGUGCGAAAGCUAGGGGAGCGAACGGG